rnacentral:rRNA from 1 species
CAGCAGCCACGGUAAUACGUAGGUGGCGAGCGUUGUCCGGAAUUAUUGGGCGUAAAGGGAGCGCAGGCGGACAUAUAAGUCCAUCUUAAAAGUGCGGGGCUCAACCCCGUGAGGGGAUGGAAACUGUAUGCCUUGAGUGCAGGAGAGGAAAGCGGAAUUCCCAGUGUAGCGGUGAAAUGCGUAGAUAUUGGGAGGAACACCAGUGGCGAAGGCGGCUUUCUGGACUGUAACUGACGCUGAGGCUCGAAAGCCAGGGGAGCGAACGGGAUUAGAUACCCCCGUAGUCCCUGUCUCUUAUACA